UACGUAGGUGGCAAGCGUUGUCCGGAAUUAUUGGGCGUAAAGCGCGCGCAGGCGGUCCUUUAAGUCUGAUGUGAAAGCCCACGGCUCAACCGUGGAGGGUCAUUGGAAACUGGGGGACUUGAGUGCAGGAGAGAAAAGUGGAAUUCCACGUGUAGCGGUGAAAUGCGUAGAGAUGUGGAGGAACACCAAUGGCGAAGGCAGCCUUCU
rnacentral:rRNA from 1 species